rnacentral:rRNA from 1 species
AUUGAACGCUGGCGGCAGGCUUAACACAUGCAAGUCGAGCGGGGGGAGGUAGCUUGCUACCGGACCUAGCGGCGGACGGGUGAGUAAUGCUUAGGAAUCUGCCUAUUAGUGGGGGACAACAUCUCGAAAGGGAUGCUAAUACCGCAUACGUCCUACGGGAGAAAGCAGGGGAUCUUCGGACCUUGCGCUAAUAGAUGAGCCUAAGUCGGAUUAGCUAGUUGGUGGGGUAAAGGCCUACCAAGGCGACGAUCUGUAGCGGGUCUGAGAGGAUGAUCCGCCGAACUGGGACUGAGACACGGCCCAGACUCCUACGGGAGGCAGCAGUGGGGAAUAUUGGACAAUGGGGGGAACCCUGAUCCAGCCAUGCCGCGUGUGUGAAGAAGGCCUUAUGGUUGUAAAGCACUUUAAGCGAGGAGGAGGCUACUUUAGUUAAUACCUAGAGAUAGUGGACGUUACUCGCAGAAUAAGCACCGGCUAACUCUGUGCCAACCGCCGCCGUAA